GAUGAACGCUGGCGGCGUGCCUAAUACAUGCAAGUCGAGCGAACGGACGAGAAGCUUGCUUCUCUGAUGUUAGCGGCGGACGGGUGAGUAACACGUGGAUAACCUACCUAUAAGACUGGGAUAACUUCGGGAAACCGGAGCUAAUACCGGAUAAUAUUUUGAACCGCAUGGUUCAAAAGUGAAAGACGGUCUUGCUGUCACUUAUAGAUGGAUCCGCGCUGCAUUAGCUAGUUGGUAAGGUAACGGCUUACCAAGGCAACGAUGCAUAGCCGACCUGAGAGGGUGAUCGGCCACACUGGAACUGAGACACGGUCCAGACUCCUACGGGAGGCAGCAGUAGGGCAUCUUCCGCAAUGGGCGAAAGCCUGACGGAGCAACGCCGCGUGAGUGAUGAAGGUCUUCGGAUCGUAAAACUCUGUUAUUAGGGAAGAACAUAUGUGUAAGUAACUGUGCACAUCUUGACGGUACCUAAUCAGAAAGCCACGGCUAACUACGUG
rnacentral:rRNA from 1 species